GACAGAGGGUGCAAACGUUGUUCGGAAUUACUGGGCGUAAAGGGCUCGUAGGCGGCCAACUAAGUCAGACGUGAAAUCCCUCGGCUUAACCGGGGAACUGCGUCUGAUACUGGAUGGCUUGAGGUUGGGAGAGGGAUGCGGAAUUCCAGGUGUAGCGGUGAAAUGCGUAGAUAUCUGGAGGAACACCGGUGGCGAAGGCGGCAUCCUGGACCAAUUCUGACGCUGAGGAGCGAAAAGCUAGGGGAGCAAACGGG
rnacentral:rRNA from 1 species